CGGGUGAGUAAUGCCUAUUGCCCUGAUGUGGGGGAUAACCAUUGGAAACGAUGGCUAAUACCGCAUGAUGCCUACGGGCCAAAGAGGGGGACCUUCGGGCCUCUCGCGUCAGGAUAUGCCUAGGUGGGAUUAGCUAGUUGGUGAAAGGCGACGAUCCCUAGCUGGUCUGAGAGGAUGAUCAGCCACACUGGAACUGAGACACGGUCCAGACUCCUACGGGAGGCAGCAGUGGGGAAUAUUGCACAAUGGGCGCAAGCCCAUGCCGCGUGUAUGAAGAAGGCCUUCGGGUUGUAAAGUACUUUCAGUCGUGAGGAAGGCGGUGUCGAUUGUUUGACGUUAGCGACAGAAGAAGCACCGGCUAACUCCGUGCCAGCAGCCGCGGUAAUACGGAGGGUGCGAGCGUUAAUCGGAAUUACUGGGCGUAAAGCGCAUGCAGGUGGUUUGUUAAGUCAGAUGUGAAAGCCCGGGGCUCGGAAUAGCAUUUGAAACUGGCAGACUAGAGUACUGUAGAGGGGGGUAGAAUUUCAGGUGUAGCGGUGAAAUGCGUAGAGAUCUGAAGGAAUACCGGUGGCGAAGGCGGCCCCCUGGACAGAUACUGAC
rnacentral:rRNA from 1 species